GACGAACGCUGGCGGCGUGCUUAACACAUGCAAGUCGUACGGUAAGGCCCUUUCGGGGGUACACGAGUGGCGAACGGGUGAGUAACACGUGAGUAACCUGCCCACAACUUUGGGAUAACGCUAGGAAACUGGUGCUAAUACUGGAUAUGUGCUCCUGCUGCAUGGUGGGGGUUGGAAAGCUCCGGCGGUUGUGGAUGGACUCGCGGCCUAUCAGCUUGUUGGUGGGGUAGUGGCCUACCAAGGCGGCGACGGGUAGCCGGCCUGAGAGGGUGACCGGCCAAAUGGGGACUGAGAAACGGCCAAGCCCCCUCGGGGAGGCAGCAGGGGGGAAUAUUGAACAAUGGGCGCAAGCCGGAUGAAGCAACGCCGGGGGGGGGAUGACGGCCUUCGGGUUGUAAACCCCUUUCAGCAGGGACGAAGUUUUUUGGGACGGUACCUGCAAAAAAAGCACCGGCGAACUACGU
rnacentral:rRNA from 1 species